GACGAACCGUGCGAACGUUGUUCGGAAUCACUGGGCUUAAAGGGCGCGUAGGCGGCUUGCCAAGUCAGUGGUGAAAUCCCACAGCUUAACUGUGGAAGUGCCUUUGAUACUGGCGAGCUCGAGGGAGGUAGGGGUAUGUGGAACUUCUGGUGGAGCGGUGAAAUGCGUUGAUAUCAGAAGGAACGCCGGUGGCGAAAGCGACGUACUGGACCUCUUCUGACGCUGAGGCGCGAAAGCUAGGGGAGCAAACGGG
rnacentral:rRNA from 1 species